UUGUGACAUACACCUCUGCCGAGGACCUGAGUGAUUUGACUCUUCUGCUUGGGCCCAGCAUCCAGAUGGGAUUGUGCCACAUUGCUGGACCCAGCCCUUAGGUGAUGUAUUGUGACAUGUGACUGGUCCUGACACCCUGGUGAUGUGAAUCUCCUGCAUGGGACUUGCCCACAGAGGGAGCAUUGUGACAUAGUGCUGAGCUCAGCACCCAGGUGAUGUGACUCUGUUGCCUGUGCUGUACUUUCAGGACAGAAUUGUAAUAUAUCCCUGGCUGAGCACUCAGGUGAGGUGACACUCCUGCUUGGCUCCUUCCCUCAGAGAAGAUUAUGAGAUAUCCAUGGCUUAAAUCCAGGUGAUGUGACUCCC